AGUGGUUGAAAAACUAGUUUUAAUGACUCCAACCUAAGUGUAUGUAAACUUCCGACUUCAACUGUGUGUGUAUAUAUAUAUAUAUAUAUAUAUAUAUAUAUCCUUUAUAAAGGAAGAGAAGCUUAGACCUAACCCUAGAGAGAGAGAGAGAGAGAGAGAGAGAGAGAGAGAGAGAGAGAUAUAUUGGUGACAUGUUACGACAUCGACAUGCAUUUAUUUAUUUAUGGCUACUGCAUCUGCUGUUCAGAUAUACAGAUGGAGGCUAAUUCGUUAAUUUUAAUUUUUUAUAGGAGUAACUGUAGGCCUGAAACAGACUUCAUCACCUGAACUUCAACUAUUGGAGUGAGCGCCAUAGCGCACUGCCUUCAUAUCAUAGGCCUACAGUAAUAGCCACACCAUACAAACCUUCACAAACAUUUCUAAACUUUAUUAGGGUAAUAUAAAAAAAUAAGUCAAGCCAUUGUUUAUAGGGAAAAUACGAGCAGAAGAGCGAAUGUAAACAGGGAAUAAAUAAAAAACACACAACCCUCCCUUACUUUGGAUCACACCCCAGUAAAUUUCGAUCUGUCCCUUACUGCGUUAAGCUUCAACCACCUAUUACCUUUAUUGCAUCAUACAGUAGAGUUCCAUUAGAUUAUAAUGAGAGUUAGUGUCCUACGUAUUUAGAGGACGAGGGAAUUCCAUUGUCAUUAACGAUGCAAUCAAUUCCAUUAACUUGACAUUUACAGUGAUGGGCCUGAGGGGAGGUUAGGGGUUGGUUACAAUGGAUCUCUCUACUGCCCAGUGUGGCUAGAGCAAGCCGCCUGCCUGCGCUGCGCUUGUGGAACCCGAUUUGUUUCUUUGGCUUUUCGCAUUGUAUUGGUAGGAGGAGCUGCUUUCCUGUGAUUGUCUGCCUCUUCUCUCUCUCUCUCUUAGCAGGUUUCUCAUUUUUCCAAAGUUAAAUAUUCAAGUCUGUGAGCUCUCACGGACGGUGGGUUGCCUGCGCCGCCGGCGAGGUUUGCCGUUGCUUGCGUUGAAAGCGAGCGGAACCGAACAGAACGGAGCGACGCUGUUUGUGUCACAUAACCGGGGCUCUUCCACUUGUGUUCGAUCCAAGUGUUUCUUAACUUCGUUUUCGGCUGCUUUCAAGAUGACAGAAGAAAAGAAUGUUGGGCAUAUAAAGCUGGUGAUUGACCAGCUUCCCUGGGAUUUGAUGUCACCU
rnacentral:lncRNA from 8 species